rnacentral:misc_RNA from 1 species
GAUGAAGAACGUAGCGAAAUGCGAUAAGCAGUGUGAAUUGCAGAAUUCAGUGAAUCAUCGAAUCUUUGAACGCACAUUGCGCCCCUUGGUAUUACAUGGGGCAUGCCUGUUAGAGCGUCAUUUGUACCUUCAAGCUUUGCUUGGUGUUGGGUGUUUGUCUCGCCUUUGCGUGUAGACUCGCCUUAAAAUAAUUGGCAGCCGGCGUAUUGAUUUCGGAGCGCAGUACAUCUCGCGCUUUGCACUCAUAACGACAGCGUCCAAAAGUACAUUUUACACUCUUGACCUCGGAUCAGGUAGGGAUACCCGCUGAACUUAAGCAUAUCAAUAAGCGGAGGA